rnacentral:rRNA from 1 species
GAUGAACGCUGGCGGCGUGCCUAAUACAUGCAAGUCGAGCGGUAAGGCCCCUUCGGGGGUACACGAGCGGCGGACGGCUGAGUAACGCGUAGGAACGUACCCCAAAGUGAGGGAUAAGCACCAGAAAUGGUGUCUAAUACCGCAUGUGGUCUAAGGACUAAAGCUCCGGCGCUUUGGGAACGGCCUGCGUAUGAUUAGCUUGUUGGUGAGGUAAUGGCUCACCAAGGCGACGANCAUUAGCUGGUCUGAGAGGAUGAUCAGCCAGACUGGGACUGAGACACGGCCCAGACUCCUACGGGAGGCAGCAGUAGGGAAUUUUCCACAAUGGGGCAACCCUGAUGGAGCAACGCCGCGUGCAGGAUGAAUGCCUUCGGGUUGUAAACUCCUGUCA